AUUGCGUAUUUGUUACAAAAUAAAAAAAAACACUCAAAGAGGUGAAGGUCUCCUGGUGAUUAUGUUGCGGUGUAAAAGAAAAGUUUAGUGAUUUUUUCCCAAGCUAACAACAGAACAGAUCAGAUAUGGCCAUAGAAUUGGGUUUCCCAGCCAUAGCUAUUGGCAUUGUUGUGGUUGCAGCGACUGCUAUACUUGCCAAGACUUACAUCUAUGACAAAAAGACGAAAAAAUCACCAGUCGAUCAAUUAAAACAAGACUUAAAAAAAACUGGGAAAAAAAUAGAGAAAGCGGUUGACAAAGUAGUAAAGGAUUUAAAGGACAAGUGCAAGGAUUGAUUUAAACAUUUGUAUUAUACUUUUGAAGUUAAACAAAAAUCAGACAUGCCUCUGUUUGAACAGUUUAUUUAUAAAAUUGAGGAUAAAUAAAACAUUUACUUUU